CAGGCCUAACACAUGCAAGUCGAGCGGUAACAUUUCUAGCUUGCUAGAAGAUGACGAGCGGCGGACGGGUGAGUAACGCGUAGAAAUCUACCUAGUAGUGGGGGAUAGCCCAGAGAAAUUUGGAUUAAUACCGCAUACGCCCUACGGGGGAAAGCGGGGGAUCUUCGGACCUCGUGCUAUUAGAUGAGUCUGCGUCGGAUUAGCUUGUUGGUGAGGUAAUGGCUCACCAAGGCGACGAUCCGUAGCUGGUCUGAGAGGAUGACCAGCCACACUGGAACUGAGACACGAUCCAGACUCCUACGGGAGGCAGCAGUGGGGAAUAUUGCACAAUGGGCGCAAGCCUGAUGCAGCCAUGCCGCGUGUGUGAAGAAGGCCUUAGGGUUGUAAAGCACUUUCAGCAGUGAGGAAAGGGGUGUCGUUAAUAGCGCCAUCCUGUGACGUUAACUGCAGAAGAAGGACCGGCUAACUCCGUG
rnacentral:rRNA from 1 species